UCUCAGCCGCCUUAGUCCUGCUCGCCUCGCCACUGCCGCGUGGUUACAAGACAGCGGGCGGCCGCGUACUAGUUUCCUCAGUACUUGUGCGUCCGUAGCAAUACCGUGUGCUGUAAACUGAACGAAGAGACUCAUUCAGUUUUUGGUCGCCUCUCCAUUAUCUCGUGGUGACGUAAAGGUGACGGCCCGUGUGUUAGUUUCCCCGGUAAUUGUGCCUCCGUAACAUUACUGUGUGCAGUGGUCGUGAGAACUGCGGGGCGGCGGUGUAGACUGUGCCGUGGAGAGUCGCGGGGUGUUGGAAUCGCCUCCCAGUCUCCUUAAAGGCGUCAUAUUCCCUCCCUGCUCUGAUCGGUGUGUCUUCCUGUCGAUGUUGACAGGACCUGCGGGAGGGUGAAGAGCGCAAGGAGUUGACUGAUCCCAGCAUGCGGACGUGCCUGAAGCCUGACCCGAGCGGGGCGCGUCUCACUCUUGACCCAGCGCAAGGCUCCGACACCGCCACCUACAAGUGCCGGGUGGACUUUGAAAUGUCGUCCACCCGCUCCACCCUCGUCACCCUCACUGUGUACGCCUGUGCGUUGAGCGGCAGGAGGCGGCGAGGCGUGACAUAGCGACGCCUGAUGACCCGUGGCACGAAUGGCAACGUGGUGAAUGGCAGUGGC